rnacentral:rRNA from 1 species
UACGUAGGGGGCAAGCGUUGUCCGGAAUCAUUGGGCGUAAAGCGCGUGUAGGCGGUUCCGUAAGUCUGCUGUGAAAGUCCAGGGCUCAACCCUGGGAUGCCGGUGGAUACUGGCGGGCUAGAGUACGGAAGAGGCGAGUGGAAUUCCCGGUGUAGCGGUGAAAUGCGCAGAUAUCGGGAGGAACACCAAUUGCGAAGGCAGCUCGCUGGGACGUCACUGACGCUGAGACGCGAAAGCGUGGGGAGCAAACAGG